rnacentral:sRNA from 2 species
UUAAAAAAUAUGCCUAAUCGAAAGAGCGGGGGAUAUCUUUGGGGUGAAUCCGCGUAUGCGGUAGGGUUUCUCUUUACCGAACCCGUCAACUAACCUCGUAGGCAUAAAGAGAGGAUGA